AAAAGCACUAUCUCCUCUGUACAUAUAAAUAUCAUGACCGGAGAUUAAGUGGCGUUCGCAGAGGGAGCAAGCUCUAAGAAAAUGAGAAGAUUCAAUAAAAUCAGCUGAUUUUCUACGAGUCAAUAAAACGGUUUGAUCUUGACCGUUGGAUCGUGGUGUAUGAUGAUCAAGUUGAUAAUUAAGGGUAGGAUCUAAGGUGAAUUCUGUCAUACUUGUUGUU
rnacentral:misc_RNA from 1 species